rnacentral:rRNA from 1 species
UACAGAGGUGGCAAGCGUUGUUCGGAAUUACUGGGCGUAAAGCGCGUGUAGGCGGCUGCGUGUGUCGGGCGUGAAAUCCCAUGGCUCAACCAUGGAAGUGCACCCGAAACUGCGUAGCUAGAGUCCUGGAGAGGAAGGUGGAAUGCUUGGUGUAGAGGUGAAAUUCGUAGAUAUCAAGCGGAACACCGGUGGCGAAGGCGGCCUUCUGGACAGUGACUGACGCUGAGACGCGAAAGCGUGGGGAGCAAACAGG